rnacentral:rRNA from 1 species
UACAGAGGGUGCGAGCGUUAAUCGGAAUUACUGGGCGUAAAGCGUGCGUAGACGGUUAUUUAAGUCGGGUGUGAAAGCCCCGGGCUCAACCUGGGAAUUGCAUUCGAGACUGAAUAGCUAGGGUACGGUAGAGGGAAGUGGAAUUUCCGGUGUAGCGGUGAAAUGCGUAGAUAUCGGAAGGAACAUCAGUGGCGAAAGCGACUUCCUGGACCAGUACCGACGUUCAGGCACGAAAGCGUGGGGAGCAAAGCAGGA